CCUACGGGAGGCAGCAGUGGGGAAUAUUGCGCAAUGGGCGAAAGCCUGACGCAGCGACGCCGCGUGAGGGAUGAAGGUCUUCGGAUCGUAAACCUCUGUCAGCAGGGAAGAACGGUCACUGUGCUAAUCAGCAGUGAAUUGACGGUACCUGCAAAGGAAGCACCGGCUAACUCCGUGCCAGCAGCCGCGGUAAUACGGAGGGUGCGAGCGGUAAUCGGAAUUACUGGGCGUAAAGCGCUCGUAGGCGGUAUGUCAAGUCAAGGGUGAAAUCCCCGCGCUCAACGUGGGAACUGCCCUUUAAACUGGCAAACGGUGGUGGGUGAGAGGAUAGGGGAAUUCCAGGGGGAGGAGUGAAAUCCGUAGAUAUCUGGAGGAACAUCAGUGGCGAAGGCGACUAUCUGGCACAUAACUGACGCUGAGGAGCGAAAGCGUGGGUAGCAAACAGGAUUAGAUACCAUAGUAGUC
rnacentral:rRNA from 1 species